rnacentral:rRNA from 1 species
UACGUAGGGGGCAAGCGCUGUCCGGAAUCAUUGGGCGUAAAGAGCGCGUAGGCGGCCCGGUAAGUCCGCUCUGAAAGUCCGGGGCUCAACCCCGGGAGGCGGGCGGAUACUGUCGGGCUAGAGUCCGGAAGAGGCGAGUGGAAUUCCUGGUGUAGCGGUGAAAUGCGUAGAUAUCGGGAAGAACACCAAUGGCGAAGGCAGUCCGCUGGGCCGUUGCUGACGCUGAGGCGCGACAGCGUGGGGAGCAAACAGG